rnacentral:rRNA from 1 species
GUCUCCAAAAGGGUUUGUAAGGCGCACUAAUAAGGACAAUUGAAUGGCCGCGGUAACCUUGACUGUGAAAAUGUAGCAUAAUCAAUAGUCAAUUAAUUGUUGACCGGUAUGAAUGGUAUCACGAGGGUUUCACUGUUUUAAAAAAUCUCCAAUGAAAUUGAGAUUGGGGUGAAGACGCCCCAUCCAAAUUGUAAGACGAGAAGUCCCCAUGGAACUUUACUGGAGGCUUAUAGUACGGAUAUUAAAAUAGAGGCUGAAGGGUCUUUUUUGUUUUUAUAGAAGGGUUCAAGGUAAGAGGGACAGUUUCAUUGGGGCGAUGGCUUUUUAAAAAGUAACAAAAGUGAGCUAGAAAUAUAAGUUUGAUUGUGAGGGAGAGGGCCCGAGCAGACACUCUAGGUGGGCGGAAUUGACCCGUUAUUUUUGAAUGAAAAAGUUAACGAUAAACAAAUAAAAGUUACCCUGGGU